AAAAGGCCUCGGGUGCAACGGCAUCCUUUUGUGGAGCUUUAGCGGAACAAAAGAUAGAGUGAAGAGCCUGCCCGGUC
rnacentral:misc_RNA from 1 species